GACGAACGCUGGCGGCAUGCCUAACACAUGCAAGUCGAACGAGAUCUUCGGGUCUAGUGGCGCACGGGUGCGUAACGCGUGGGAAUCUGCCCUUUGGUUCGGAAUAACAGUUGGAAACGACUGCUAAUACCGGAUGAUGACGAAAGUCCAAAGAUUUAUCGCCAGAGGAUGAGCCCGCGUAGGAUUAGCUAGUUGGUGUGGUAAAGGCGCACCAAGGCGACGAUCCUUAGCUGGUCUGAAAGGAUGAUCAGCCACACUGGGACUGAGACACGGCCCAGACUCCUACGGGAGGCAGCAGUGGGGAAUAUUGGACAAUGGGCGAAAGCCUGAUCCAGCAAUGCCGCGUGAGUGAUGAAGGCCUUAGGGUUGUAAAGCUCUUUUACCCGGGAUGAUAAUGACAGUACCGGGAGAAUAAGCUCCGGCUAACUCCGUGCCAGCAGCCGCCGUAA
rnacentral:rRNA from 1 species